rnacentral:rRNA from 1 species
GAUGAACGCUAGCGACAGGCUUAACACAUGCAAGUUGAGGGGCAGCAUAAAAGUAGCAAUACUUUGGUGGCGACCGGCGCACGGGUGAGUAACGCGUAUGCAACCUACCUAUCAGAGGGGGAUAACCCGGCGAAAGUCGGACUAAUACCGCAUAAAACAGGGGCACCGCAUGGUGAUAUUUGUUAAAAAUUUAUUGCUGAUAGAUGGGCAUGCGUUCCAUUAGGUAGUUGGAGAGGUAACGGCUCACCAAGCCUACGAUGGAUAGGGGAACUGAGAGGUUGGUCCCCCACACUGGUACUGAGACACGGACCAGACUCCUACGGGAGGCAGCAGUGAGGAAUAUUGGUCAAUGGGCGAGAGCCUGAACCAGCCAAGUCGCGUGAAGGAAGAAGGAUCUAUGGUUCGUAAACUUCUUUUGCAGGGGAAUAAAGUGCAGGACGUGUCCUGUUUUGUAUGUACCCUGAGAAGUAAGGAUCGGCUAACUCCGUGCCAGCAGCCGCGGU